rnacentral:rRNA from 1 species
CAGCAGUGGGGAAUAUUGCACAAUGGGCGAAAGCCUGAUGCAGCGACGCCGCGUGAGGGAUGACGGCCUUCGGGUUGUAAACCUCUUUCAGCAGGGAAGAAGCGAAAGUGACGGUACCUGCAGAAGAAGCGCCGGCUAACUACGUGCCAGCAGCCGCGGUAAUAUGUAGGGCGCAAGCGUUGUCCGGAAUUAUUGGGCGUAAAGAGCUCGUAGGCGGCUUGUCGCGUCGGAUGUGAAAGCCCGGGGCUUAACCCCGGGUCUGCAUUCGAUACGGGCAGGGUAGAGUGUGGUAGGGGAGAUCGGAAUUCUUGGUGUAGCGGUGAAAUGCGCAGAUAUCAGGAGGAACACCGGUGGAGAAGGCGGAUCUCUGGGCCAUUACUGACGCUGAGGAGCGAAAGCGUGGGGAGCGAACAGGAUUAGAUACCCUGGUAGUCCACGCCGUAAACGUUGGGAACUAGGUGUUGGCGACAUUCCACGUCGUCGGUGCCGCAGCUAACGCAUUAAGUGCCCCGCCU